AUUGAACGCUGGCGGCAGGCCUAACACAUGCAAGUCGAGCGGAUGAAGGGAGCUUGCUCCUGGAUUCAGCGGCGGACGGGUGAGUAAUGCCUAGGAAUCUGCCUGGUAGUGGGGGAUAACGUCCGGAAACGGGCGCUAAUACCGCAUACGUCCUGAGGGAGAAAGUGGGGGAUCUUCGGACCUCACGCUAUCAGAUGAGCCUAGGUCGGAUUAGCUAGUUGGUGGGGUAAAGGCCUACCAAGGCGACGAUCCGUAACUGGUCUGAGAGGAUGAUCAGUCACACUGGAACUGAGACACGGUCCAGAAUCCUAAGGGAGGGCGCAGUGGGGAAUAUUGGACAAUGGGCGAAAGCCUUAUCCAGCCAUGCCGCGUGUGUGAAGAAGGUCUUCGGAUUGUAAAGCACUUUAAGUUGGGAGGAAGGGCAGUAAGUUAAUACCUUGCUGUUUUGACGUUACCAACAGAAUAAGCACCGGCUAACUUCGUG
rnacentral:rRNA from 1 species